AACAAAAGAAAUUAUCCGCAUUACCAGUAAAUCCGCGCAUAUUGUAAAUACAAGCAUGAUAUAAUCAUGGAGGAGAUAAAGGAAGGAAUUACCCUUAUGAAAUUCUUAAGUGCAUAACUUUUUUUAUUUGCUCAUUGAGAGGCUUCCACAUCCUUGGAUCCCUCAUCUGCAGGCCCAUUGUUUGGUGUAUUAUCUGAGGUGUCAAUGCAAACUGUGCUUUUACAUUGACUGACAGGCUGGGGAUCAGCCAGUGGGUAGGGAUCUUUAGAUCCUUGGUGAAAAAAGAUCUGUUUGCUGUUUAGAGCCUCGGGCAAGCAACCCAUUGACAGUUUUGCCAUGCCUAAUUUCUGUUCAUUUGGGAGCUUAGUAGAAGCAGGUGAUUCAGGAGUAUCAGGAUGCUUUCCUGACAACUCCAAAGGUCUAUGAAACAGUAAAUGAGCUACAGCACGGUCUAUGGGAUUGGUCUCAGUUUCCACUUCAGACAUAGCAUUCCUGUUAUGACCUCUGGUUUCCUCUUUUGUGACAACUUUCUCAUCCCUGCUACUAUUGUUGGUACUGCCAGUAUCACUAGCAUAAUGCCUUUGCAUUGCACUUUGAGCCAACCGGAACAAGCUAUCCCGUAAACAAAGUCUGAUUCUAGCAUCCAACUUUGAAAUAAUAUCUUGAAGCCGGUAGAGCACUGUGUCCUCUGCUGAAUAAUCAUUAACUGCCAGAGAGAUUGUAUUGGAAUCAUCAUGUUCAACUGGUGAGUUUGGUUCAAAAGCAGGAAGAGAUCUUAGAUCCUCCAUUUCUAGAUCUGCUCCCUCAACAUGCUGAAUUUGAUUUUCUUGGGAACAUUUUUGAGUGAUGGACUGAUCACUACAGGAAACUUGAUGACCAAACUGCUGCUGCUGUUUCUGAAUAGCAAGCAUUGCCUGCAUUUGCUGCCGUUUCCUUAAUUUUUCAAUUUUUUCCUGAGGAGUCAUAGUCUGAGGUUUUACCAGUAAGUCAGCUAACUUGUUUACAGGAUUUGCAUUACCUGAAGAAACUUCAUAACCAGAAAGCAUGGAUUGCUGCUUAAAUUCCCCAGACUGAAUGUGAGACAGCACAGGCAUGGCAGAAUAUGGAUUUGUAACAGUCCCAUAGGCAGAAGGGGCCACUAAUGGAUUUGAAAUCUGUUGGUACUGCAAUGAUUCAGGUCCUUGUAGUGGCCUCGGUUGACUAAGAACUGAAGGAGAGGAAGGUACCAUGGUGGGUGCAAAUUGGCUCUUGAAUUGACCAGAUAGGCUCUGAGCUGAAGACCAGUUACCAUACAAAUCUUGGUACAAAGUUAAUUCACUUUGUUCUUCAAACCUUUUCUGACGUUUCAAGGGUUUCUUUUGCUUAUAAACCUUAUCUGCCAAUUCAUUUGGUGCAGCAACAUUUUCCACAGUACGCUGAGAGUUUACUGCAGUGUUCUUUCCCAUUAUGGUCAAAUCAUUCUGCUCCUUCACCGUGGGCUUACUUUUACCUCCAGCAUAUUUUACAUGAUCCAGGACAGCACAUGCAUUCUGCAGACCAUGAGAUGCAGGAUCAUUCAGUUUCCCAUAGUCAAGUGUAUAUGUGUGGUCAUCAUCUUGUACACACUCAGAUUUAAUCUCCGAAUUCUCAGAUGUAUUCUUUAAAGGCCCUAACCCCAAAGAUGGAGAGCCCGCAUAAAUGGGAAAGGACUUUCCUGGACUGUUAGUUGCAUCUUUAGAAGAAGACCAGAGCUCAUCAGCAUUACUGAGACUUACGGUGCCAAAUAUAGGAUCAUCAUUGCUAAAAAUUCGAUCAAGGUCAUCAAAGCUUCCAAUGUUAGCCCAGCCAUAAUCAACGAAAUCACCUUGUUCUUUAACUUUUUGAAAAAUUUCAGUCUCCUUAUCAAGUUGAACUGUCUC
rnacentral:misc_RNA from 1 species